CUCUCGAUAGCUUAGUUGGUAAAGCAUUAGACUGUAACUGUUCAUUCUGGAUAUUGAUAUCUAAGGAUCGGGUGUUCGACUCACCCUCGGGAGA
rfam:Candida albicans SC5314 chromosome 1 sequence.